GCCACCCCUGGGCAUAUGGAAGUUUCCAGGGGACGAAUUAGAGCUACAGCUGCCAGCCUACACCACAGUCACAGCCACAUAGGAUCUGAGCCUUGUCUGUGACCUACACCACAGCUCAUAGCAACAUCAGAUCCUUAACCCACUGAGCGAGGCCAAGGAUCGAACCUGAGUCCUCAUGGAUGCUAGUCAGGUUUGUUACUGCUGAGCUAUGACAGCAACUCCUAAAAUACGUUUCUUUAGAUUCUUUUUCAUUGAGACAAAAUGCCUCCCCUCACACACAGUAAUAUGCAAAGAAACUACUAGAAGGAGAAGUAAGAAAACUGCUAAUAACAGUUGCCUCUGAAGACUGGAAAAAGGAGUAUAAGGAUUUACUUUUCCCUUGCUACUCACUUGUAUUAUUUGAUUUAUCUUUUAUCAUGUGCUUGUAUUACUUCAUAUGCUUCCCACCUACAGUAAAUCCAGUCGGCUCUGCUCUCGGCAGAAUCCACAAUCGAACCUCUUCUCUUGCCCUCCUCCACUGUGAACACUCUGGUCCAAGCCACCGCUGCACUGCCCUGGCUACUGCAACAGCCACCUCCUUGCUCAUCUUCCUGGGCCUGCCCUUGACCAGCGACAGUGCAGUUUCAGCAGGACUACAACCAAUCCCAAUUUUAAAGUCAGGCCAUGUCACGCCUCUGCUCAAGUUCCUUCAGAGGCUUCCCAGCAGGGAGUACAGGCAAAAGGCCUUUGCACUGGCUGCUCCCUGUUCCUUGCCCACCCGCGCUCUUCAGGUCUCUACUCAAACAUGGCCUCAUUUUCGCACAGCCCCGCCAAUGUCAAAGGGCAACCCCUCCUCAACUGACCAGGCCUGGCCCACCCCUCUCCUGCCUAACUUCCCUCCGUAGCACUUGCCCCCACCUGAUGUAACAUGUACACACAUCUCUCAUUUACCAUCUGGCUAGAAAGAGAGAAUGCGACGGCAGGAGGGUCUGCCUUGUUCGCUGCUGUAUCUCUAGCCCCUAAAACAGUAUCUGGCACAGAGCAGGCCCUCAACAAAUAUUCAUUGAAUGAACUAUUUGAUAACAUAAUAAGAGGAGAACACAAUAUACUAUUGAUCAGAGCAACGAUGAAAAACAAAUCCAGAAAAAGACCUCAAGUCCCAGAAGGAAAAUUCAAAAAUAUAAAGGAGCAAAAAUUAAGAACAAAGAUGUUUCCAGCCACCGGGAACAGGGUGGAGAAACUCUCAAUGAUAAACUAACACAGAAACAAGCAAUGUCCAGGGGCACACAGCGGCCCGCUUGUCAUAAGCCAACACUCCGCACAUAGGCCCCUUUCAUGGAGCCCAGGGAGACAAGAGCAGCUGAUGUGACUGCAGCACAGUGUCAGCUCAGUAACCAGGGAGGGAAACCAGCCGGUCUGAACACGUUACAGAGUCAGUCCCAAAGCCACAGACUAUUUCCGGGUGUCAGACAAGCCCACACCCUCCUGAGACAGCCAAACCACAGCGAAUGUGCCAACCCCGCGCUUGCCGGCUUCACGAGCCCCGCCUGAAAGGCGGCCCUCUCCCCACCAGGCACUUGAGCUAAAAGUAACGCACCCAGGGUUCAGAGCUGGGGUUGGGGGUCUCCAGCCCAGGGCCCUUUAUCUUUCUGUGCCUCAGUGUUUGCUGGAACAUUCGCAUUUUCCUUUCUACCUCAUCUGACCCACACUCAAAUUAGCAUGUGCUAAUUUGUUUAUGACCCUGGCCCAUAUGAAGUCCCUUGAGCGCAAAGACUUAAAAUCCAACGAGAUUGAGGGUGGUGGCGGCAAGGGGGGAGGGGGUUUCCGCAAGCAGUGGACUUGACCUAACCCUCCCAGCACCGUUUCAUCACAGUCCCUGCGAACCACACCGGGUCAGGCUAGGGGUUCUCAACUGGGGUCAGCGUGUCGCUAGGGGACACUGGCUGUGUCUGGAAAUAUCUGGGGUGGUUCCAACUGGGGAGGCGGUGGUGCCACUGGCAUCUGGUAGGGAGAGACCAGGUCACCCUCAUAGGACAGUCCCCACAAUGACAAGGGAUCCAGUCCCAAAUGGCAGGAGUGCCUUGGCUGAGCAAACCUGGUGGAUGAGCAGGGUGAAGGGGGCCACCCUGGGGAAGGGAGACCUCUAAAAGGUGCAUGCACGGAGUUCCCAAUAUCGCGCAGCAGAAACAAAUCUGACUGGUAUCCAUGAGGACGCAGGUUCGAUCCCUGGCCUCGCUCAGUGGGUUAAGGAUCCGGCUGUGGUGUAGGCUGCAGACUCGGCACAGAUCCUGCGUUGCUGUGGCUCUAGUGUAGGACGGCAGCUACACCUCCGAUGAGACCCUUAACCUGGGAACCUCCAUAUGCCUCGGGGGUGGCCCUAAAAAGACAAAAAAAGAGGGCGGGGGGCCUGCAGGCUGGAGCCAGAAGAAUUGAUGAGACCUGGCCCCGCCCGCCGCCCUGGGGCUACUGCUGGUUGGCAGCCGGCUGUUUGAGGAAGCUGUAUGGGGACAGCCAACCGGGUGCGGUUGCACUGCCAGGCUGUGUUGGAACACACCCUCACCUCAAGAAGAUGCUUCUUCAUUAGAAGAACCAUGCCUGCCUCUGUCAGUCUGCCGACAGCCCAGAGUCCCAGUGGGCCUGGCCUUUGCUCCUGUGGUGACAACACAGCUACCCCUGCCCUGUAUGCAGGCAAAUAGCCCACCCGGCCCACUCACAGGACUCAGGCACCAGGCUCAGCAGCCAAAUACAUGCUGGCAUUUUAACCAAUGCUACUUCCCUCUCUGCAAAGAGGGAACCAGCCAUCCAAAUAGAGAAGGGAGAAUGUUCCAGAAACAGGACAACCAAUCCCUGCAAAGGGACCUCUUGGCGUCUUCACCCUGACCAGGGCAUGGGCUGGGAACACGCAAGGAGCCUGGAGUCCUCACCCCGCACACAAAAGAGAAAGCAGGCUGAGGUUAGUUUUUAUAAGUGACGAUGAGGUGUCCUCACCUCCUUCUCUAAAGAUCCCUGAGGAGGCCGUCGUCGUCACAGCUGCUUUAACCAGGGGGGACACUGAGUCCCAGGAGGCUGAAACACGUGUUGAAAGGGAUACAUUCAGUAAGUGAAGAGGCCAGGACUCGAACCCAGGACUGUAAGGGGACAAUCCAUACUCCCAGCCAUGCAUGGUUCUGCUGGUUAAGGCAUUUUAACACCCUGGGGCUACUGCUAGUGCCCUGGUGUUUUUCAGAGACACUGAGGUAUGGGGACAUCAGCCGGCAGGUGGCAGGUCUCAGGGCAAGUGGCAAGCCAGGUGAUGUGCUGCAAAGUCCACAAGGCCCCUCUCUGCCCUACCAAGUGGCUGCACAGGGCGACCAGGUCCAGGCUGCCCUAAGCGGCUUGGCAGCUGACGCCCUAAAAGGAUAGACAAUCUUGUCUGUGCAGGGAGUGCCACCGAGACCAUGCCCCAAGGGAGGGGCCUGUCGGGGUGAGGGUGGGGGAGUGGGUGGAACAGACCAGUUGGAGUCUUUUAUGACAGGUGACCUUGGGCCCCAUCCACAGGGGGCAGCUGGUCCUUGCCACUAGCUGUCUUCUAGAGGCUCAGCAGGGUUUUACCUUCCAGUUUUUCAAAAAUCCUUCAACACCCCUCCCUGCCUCCAAACAAACAAAGACCCGGGGGGCCCAGCUGAAGAUGUCACCAGGAAGCCUGGGCAUGACCUUGGGACUAGGAUGAUGUCAUGAGAAAGUUACCUCCUGCCCCCAGGAUAAGCAGGGCCUUAUAAUUAGGGCGGGGAGCUUCUGGCAAAGAAGUCGCUUUAGGUCCCUUUUACAGCUGGCUGGGCUUUUCCUUCUCAGCACAAUAAAACGGUCCCACUGCCCGCAGCCCCACCCUUCUGGCACCUGCACCCAGGCUCACUUGAGUUUGCCACCCAGUCCCUUCCCUUCAGCGGACAAAUAGGAGCUACAGUUCCCAGAGAAAAUGAGAAAGGGGUUAUUACAAUUAAGAAGUUCCUCUGCAGAAAGGCACUGGAACCUGGCAGGGAGGGUUACAGGAGGUUGGAGCUGGGAGGGGGCAUCCCAGUUCCUCAGCCAGGAUCGCCUGGACUGGAGAAGUGGCCAGGAGCUCUCAGAGGUGGUGGUGCUUCUGAGAAAUCAGAUUCAAGUGCUAAGAAGGGUAUAUUUCCUGGAGGCGUGACAGAAAGAGAGAAAAGGAGAGUCCGCCAAGGCCUUCCUUGCAGGCACAAAGAACUUCUCUGCCUGUCCCUCUGCUCGGAGGUGGGGGGUGGGGGGGUGGCUAAAGGCCCGCCCUUCCGCCUCAUCAGCCUGGACAGGCAGCGGGUGCGAAUGACGAGACACAGAGCAAAGUGGCCCCUGCCUGGGGUCCCUUUCUCAUGCCUGCGGGCCUUCUCAUGCUGUAUUUAGCACGAAGGUGUUGGGAACAUUUUGCUUCUCAGUUUGGUUCUGGGGGGAGGUUGUCACAAAUAGAAUGACAGCCCUGACCCUCUGCCCAGAAAAAUGCCCAGACACCCACCGUUGGGCAUCAAGUUUCAAGAGCAUCCCUGUUCCUCCCCAUCCAUUCUGAGACCAUCCCUUGGUCUGAAAACCUCCCCUUUUAUCACAACAUGACAUGAGAUGACAGUGACUCACCCUGGGAAAUUCUGGAGGCAGUGCUGUGUUGGGAAUGAGCUGGAGGCAGGCUCGGUGGCCAGGCCCCCAGGAAACAGAUGCCACUCCCCUAGGGGGUAGCUGGGGACACUUUACAAAGAGAUACUUUCUAAGGGAAAUGAGGAAAGCAGGGCUGGCCUCAGCGGGGAUCUGUGUGAUCAGAUCCUGGAGAAAGAAGCUUAGCUAUGACUCGCCGCCCCCCUCAUUCCACUGUCCCCGGGCUCCCAUCUCCUGCCUCCGUUUGGCCAAAGCAAUGAGCAAUCCAAGCUGAUGAAAUCCAAGGUCAGGAUGGAGUUGGGGCAGAAGACACCCAAUACCUUCAUCUCAGCUGAGACUUAAUGCCUGAGGUGGAAGGAAUGAACACGAGGGUGCCUGCAGGGGAUGUGGGGUCGCUGACCUUCCCCGUUGAGCCCACUGCAUCCCAUUACCAGGAACCAUGUGACACUCAUCUGACAAUGGCAGGGCAUCGGGGUCGGCCACUAGGA
rnacentral:lncRNA from 1 species